GCUCAAAUUUGAAAUCUGGCGUCUUUGGCGUCCGAGUUGUAAUUUGAAGAAGGUAUCUUUGGGCCCGGCUCUUGUCUAUGUUCCUUGGAACAGGACGUCACAGAGGGUGAGAAUCCCGUGCGAUGAGAUGACCCGGGUCUGUGUAAAGUUCCUUCGACGAGUCGAGUUGUUUGGGAAUGCAGCUCUAAGUGGGUGGUAAAUUCCAUCUAAAGCUAAAUAUUGGCGAGAGACCGAUAGCGAACAAGUACAGUGAUGGAAAGAUGAAAAGAACUUUGAAAAGAGAGUGAAAAAGUACGUGAAAUUGUUGAAAGGGAAGGGCUUGAGAUCAGACUUGGUAUUUUGCAUGCUGCUCUCUCGGGGGCGGCCGCUGCGGUUUACCGGGCCAGCAUCGGUUUGGAGCGGCAGGAUAAUGGCGGAGGAAUGUGGCACGGCUUCUGCUGUGUGUUAUAGCCUCUGACGAUACUGCCAGCCUAGACCGAGGACUGCGGUUUUUACCUAGGAUGUUGGCAUAAUGAUCUUAAGUCGCCCGUCU
rnacentral:rRNA from 1 species